UAAGGAAUAUUGGUCAAUGGACGGAAGUCUGAACCAGCCAAGUAGCGUGCAGGAUGACGGCCCUAUGGGUUGUAAACUGCUUUUGUAUGGGGAUAAAGUUAGGGACGUGUCCCUAUUUGCAGGUACCAUACGAAUAAGGACCGGCUAAUUCCGUGCCAGCAGCCGCGGUAAUACGGAAGGUCCAGGCGUUAUCCGGAUUUAUUGGGUUUAAAGGGAGCGUAGGCUGGAGAUUAAGUGUGUUGUGAAAUGUAGACGCUCAACGUCUGAAUUGCAGCGCAUACUGGUUUCCUUGAGUACGCACAACGUUGGCGGAAUUCGUCGUGUAGCGGUGAAAUGCUUAGAUAUGACGAAGAACUCCGAUUGCGAAGGCAGCUGACGGGAGCGCAACUGACGCUUAAGCUCGAAGGUGCGGGUAUCAAACAGGAUUAGAUACCCUGGUAGUCCGCACAGUAAACGAUGGAUGCCCGCUGUUGGUACCUGGUAUCAGCGGCUAAGCGAAAGCAUUAAGCAUCCCACUUGGGGAGUACGCCGGNNCGGU
rnacentral:rRNA from 1 species